rnacentral:ncRNA from 2 species
GGCACACACUCUGGAGAGCGCAGUCGCCUUCUUGAAGCGCGAACUGCCACCGAAGGGGCAGCGGCGCCGGUUGAUCAACCUGGCACCGUAAUCUCUCAGGUACCAAGGACAGAGGGGUUCAC